UACGGAGGGUGCGAGCGUUGUCCGGAAUCACUGGGCGUAAAGGGCGCGUAGGCGGCCUGAUAAGUAGGGGGUGAAAUCCUGCGGCUUAACCGCAGGGCUGCCUUCUAAACUGUCAGGCUUGAGCACAGUAGAGGCAGGUGGAAUUCCCGGUGUAGCAGUGAAAUGCGUAGAGAUCAUGAGGAAGACCAGUGGCGAAGGCGGGUCUCUGGACAGUUCCUGACACUGAGACACGAAGGCCAGGGGGAGCAAACGGGG
rnacentral:rRNA from 1 species